GUGCUCUCUCAGCAGCACACAUUCUAAACUUGGAAUGAUACAGAGAAGAUGAGCAUGGCCCCUGUGCAAGGAGAGCAUGCAAAUUUGUGAGGCAUUCCAUAGUUUG
rnacentral:snRNA from 1 species